rnacentral:rRNA from 1 species
UACAGAGGUGGCAAGCGUUGUUCGGAAUUACUGGGCGUAAAGGGCGCGUAGGCGGUCCGAUAAGUCCUGUGUGAAAUCCCUCGGCUCAACUGAGGAACUGCACGGGAGACUGUCGGGCUUGAGUUCGGGAGAGGGAAGCGGAAUUCCAGGUGUAGCGGUGAAAUGCGUAGAUAUCUGGAGGAAUACCGGUGGCGAAGGCGGCAUCCUGGACCGAGAUUGACGCUGAUGAGCGAAAGCUAGGGGAGCAAACGGG